CUUCUCUCAACUAAUCUCUUCUUACCACCAAGAAGCAGAAACUAGUGAAACUGUUGCCUCUGGAGAACAUGUGCUUGGAAACCGACUCGCCCGCGCUCGGCCCAGAGAAGCAGUUAAGGAACGAGCCCAAGAACAUCGUCGUUGCGGCCGAGUACGUCAGCGCCGUGAAAGGAGUGUCGGUGGAGGAGGUGAUGCAGGUGACGACGCGCAACGCACUCCGGCUCUUCCCCAAGUUAAAGUCGGCCGUCAAAUUGUGAUACCGGAUGAUUGAGUCAGGCGGUCAAUAAGUCAAUUAAACAGACUCUUGGCACACAA